CAUCACACAAGAGGUUAGCAUUUGAACAUACAUAUUUGGGGAAACAUAAAUAUUCCAACGGUAGUAGGAAUUUAAUAAUACAAAGACAUUAAUUUCAGUAGACAUUUUAAGCCUUAGAUACAGUUUGAGUGAUCCUAUGGAGGUAAGUUAGUUAUGUGGAAAAAUUUAAAAUUAUGUCAAAAGGAGCAGAAAUGAAAGGAUCUGGGGGUAGGCAGAGGCAGGAGAACAAGGCAGCUUCACUAAAACCUGUCCUUGUCCACUUCUGUAAACUGAAUGCAACAUCCCUAAUUCCUGAAACUGUGAUAUAAAAAAGUAAUUGUGA